CCGUCCAUCGACAACACUGAGUGUGUGUCUAUCAAUUAUUUCAUUCGCCCAUCGAUCGAUAGUCAUGGUCGAUGGUCAACUACGGAUAUUUAUCAUUUUAUCUCCAAAAUGCAUCAAAAUCACUACUUUCCUCCAAAUCACCCAAAAACCUGUAAACAUACUAAAAAAACUCCAAAACAACUAUAAAGUAUUUAAAAACACCUAUAUACCAUGGCUAAAAAUGAGUAAAAUUCAUGGUAAAUCAGUUAUCUGAAAAAAACAUUCUUUCAAAAAACUAAGCGAAAACAAUCAACAGAAAUGAAUGAUUUGAGACAAGCAAAGGGAAA
rnacentral:lncRNA from 1 species